GGAAUGAUGGGAAUUUAAACCUCUUCCAGAGUAUCAAUUGGAGGGCAAGUCUGGUGCCAGCAGCCGCGGUAAUUCCAGCUCCAAUAGCGUAUAUUAAAAUUGUUGCAGUUAAAAAGCUCGUAGUUGAAUUUCUGCUGCAUUGCUUGUGUCCCUCUGGGGUCUGUGCAUGUGGCUUUUUUCGGACGGAGUUUCUUUGUCUGAAUGUUUACUUUGAGAAAAUUAGAGUGCUCAAAGCAGGCUUUCGCCUUGAAUAGUUUAGCAUGGAAUAAUAAAGUAGGACUUUGGUUCUAUUUUGUUGGUUUUAGGUACCAAAGUAAUGGUUAAUAGGAACAGUUGGGGGCAUUCGUAUUUAACUGUCAGAGGUGAAAUUCUUAGAUUUGUUAAAGACGAACUACUGCGAAAGCAUUUGCCAAGGAUGUUUUCAUUAAUCAAGAACGAAAGUUAGGGGAUCGAAGACGAUCAGAUACCGUCGUAGUCCU
rnacentral:rRNA from 2 species